UACGAAGGGGGCUAGCGGUGCUCGGAAUCACUGGGCGUAAAGCGCACGUAGGCGGCUUCUUAAGUCAGGGGUGAAAUCCUGGAGCUCAACUCCAGAACUGCCUUUGAUACUGGGAGGCUCGAGUCCGGAAGAGGUGAGUGGAACUGCGAGUGUAGAGGUGAAAUUCGUAGAUAUUCGCAAGAACACCAGUGGCGAAGGCGGCUCACUGGUCCGGUACUGACGCUGAGGUGCGAAAGCGUGGGGAGCAAACAGG
rnacentral:rRNA from 1 species